UACGAAGGGGGCUAGCGUUGUUCGGAAUCACUGGGCGUAAAGCGCGUGUAGGCGGAUCGUUAAGUCGGGGGUGAAAUCCUGAGGCUCAACCUCAGAACUGCCUUCGAUACUGGCGAUCUUAGAGUCCGGGAGAGGUGAGUGGAACUCCUAGUGUAGAGGUGAAAUUCGUAGAUAUUCGGAAGAACACCAGUGGCGAAGGCGGCCAACUGGUCCGGCACUGACGCUGAGGUGCGAAAGCGUGGGGAGCAAACAGG
rnacentral:rRNA from 1 species